UCGUUUUGUUUUGUUUUUUUUUUAUAUUUGGCCCUAAAUCUCUGCCAGCAUUGUAGCUUGCUUUUCAUUACUUCGUGCAUGUAUCUUGAGUACGUUAUAGAACAGAUGUUAAGCUAUUCUCUGCAGUUUGUUUUUCUCACAUUCUUGACAGCAAACGACAGUAAGGAAUGGCAAAAACUGUGGAUGAUGUGUUUACAGCUUGAAAUGCAAAUAUUUAACCUCCCCUCCAUUAGUUUAAGAUCCAAUGGGACUCUUGAAUAGAUGUUUUGUCUGUGCGCUGCAUCAAGCCAAUAAAACGGACUCGAUCUUCUGGUUCAAUAAGUGGGAUCGAUGAGCAACCAUGUACAGUAGAUUGAGCACGAUACUGUUGGUGUUGGGUCUUGUAAUCACCCUCCAGUGCCUCGCAUACACCGAGGCAAUAAAUGCUAAAUGGACGCAUCUUAGACUUAAAACUGGAAAAAAGAGUUUGGGAAACAAGCUGGAGGCCAAAGAUGAAGAAGCGGGCCGAGCCGGGUUAUAUAGGGUUAUACAUAGGUCGAAGACUUUGUCGUGAUCCUGAAGCUUUCGAAUGUGAGAGUGAGGGCUAGUUCCUCUAUACAAGAACACAGAAUUAUCGUGAACUUCAAAUGAAGUUCAAUUGUUUUUUGGUAACGCGCCUUUGACUUAAAGUAAACUGCAUUCACAGUUAGAUCUGUCAAAAAUUGACAUUGUGUAAGCAAAUAAAAUAUAUGUGCAUGUAA